rnacentral:rRNA from 1 species
AACGAACGCUGGCGGCAGGCUUAACACAUGCAAGUCGAGCGCACCGCAAGGGGAGCGGCAGACGGGUGAGUAACGCGUGGGAACCUACCAAUCUCUACGGAAUAAAGCAUGGAAACGAGUGAUAAUACCGUAUAUGUCAUUAGGGUGGAAGGUUGAUCGGAGAUGGAUGAACCGCCGUUGGAUUAUCUUUUUUGCGGGGUAAAGGCCAACCACGGCGACGAUCCAUAGCUGGUCUGAGAGGUUUGUCAGCCACACUGAGACUGAGAACACGGCCCAGACUCCUACGGGAGGCAGCAGUGGGGAAUACUGGACAAUGGGCGCAAGCCUGAUCCAGCCAUGCCUCGUAAGUGAUGAAGGCCCUAGGGUUGUAAAGCUCUUUCACCGGUGAAGAUAAUGACGGUAACCGGAGAAGAAGCCCCGGCUAACUUCGUGCCAGCCGCCGCCGUAAGAC